GCUGGGCGCAGUGGCUCACGCCUGUAAUCCCAGCAUCUUGGGAGGCUGAGACGGGAGGAUCACCUGAGAUCAGGAGUUCAAGACCAGCCUGGUCAACAUGGUGAAACCCCGUCUCUA
rfam:Gorilla gorilla gorilla genomic chromosome, chr11, whole genome shotgun sequence